rnacentral:lncRNA from 1 species
GAAAGAACGGAGAAAUCCCCAUCUAUUUCCUUUACUACCCACAAGACAUGGUGAACAGCCACAUGCCGUUUCCAAGGAGAAAAGACACAAAAUCUAUCCCCAGAGAUCCCACAAGCCACAGUCUGGCUUGGUUUUAUAGAAAGUAUUUCCUCUCCCUGCACCACCAGCGCUCCAUCCUCCCCACCCCACUGGAAUCAUGUCUCAUCUUGCACAGGAAAUUUUGAUUUUUCAUUGGAAAAAAAAAAUAGUUAAGCAACCUAAAGUGAAUUAUUUUGGCACGAGUCUCAUCUAUUGCAGUUCCAACACUGCCACGACACCUCCAGCACGGAGCACCCAACCAAGGAACAGCUGCCCUGAGGAUGUGCGGCAGCGCAGCCAAAGCAAACUGGUUGGGUUGCCCAGUAGAACACACCACUUCCCAGCUCAGAGAAAGGCUGGCUUACCUCCUGGGACACGCACGUUGGUGUACAGCCUCUUGCUGCAGUGGAACAGGAGGUUUCCUACAGGACCUGAUGGGUUCUUUAUCAUAAGGUUUGAGUGGAUGGAGAAACCCACUGAAACUUUAGAUUGUAGAGUGGUCAGGCACUGGAAAAGAGCAUGGCACAAGCAAAGGCUGCAAAGGCAGAGGAAUGCUGGCUUGAUAUCCUCCAGGGUGCAGGAGUUGGCAGCUUUAUCCAUCACUAUUUUUAGCCCUUCUGGGACUUCUGCAGUGCCCCAGCUUCACAACAAGCCCAAGAAGAGGCAAAGCUUCACCCAGUGGCAUCCCAUCAUGGAUGGCACACAGGUGACGCGCUCCAACCUGAAUGAUCUGCAGUCCUAAAACAACUGUAACGAAGCUGUGAUAACAGGAAACAUCAGGAAACUCAACAACAGCAGAGAUGAGCGCCCUGCCUACACCACACUGCUGCUGCGUUCAGCGAGAUUGUUAUAUGUGAUGUCAACAGCUACACACAAGCUGUGAAUAGUUUCCUAUCUCCUCCAGCCUAUUUGAGUCUCGAGUGAUUCAACUGACUUCUUCAGAGCUGUUCUGGAUUUACACUGGCUCUGCUGAAACCAGGAUGCACCACAGGGGUCUAGGAAGCGCGCUGGGUCCCCAUCUCUCCUUGGCACACAGUAGCACUGGAGCUUGAGCACAGCUGCACUGAUUUCCUUCCAUUGGGCAUCAGGACUUCUGCUCACAGUGUGUGGGUCUGAGAAGGGGCAGCCCUGAUACGGGACAUCCCCAUCACCCCCAAGCCCUCACCAAACCAUCACAUCGCUCUGUGUAAAAGAGGCAGCUCUUCUACGCAGGGCAGCCCUAAAAAUAAACAAAGAAACGAAAGAGAUCCUCUCUCCAAAAAAUAAACUGUGAUUAAUUAUUCCGAAAAGGGCUGUUUAUAGCUUGGACUUCAUGAAACGGAAUGCAUGAUUUAAUGCACUAUCUGACAAUGUGCUGUUUUUCAUUUCAGCACAAUCAGGGCCUAAAUCCGUGUCUCCCUCUCCUUCAUCUGAGCUGGAAAUGGUUUUAUAUUCCAUCUCGCUUUAAAUUAUACACAUCAAGUUUAUAAUGGGACACGGACUAUUUUGUUGCCAAAACCUGCUCUGUAAGAUCAUCUAUUAAACCGUAUUUAUUUUUUAUGACAAACAAGAAAAAUGACAAAACAGCUACUGAGCUUCUGCUAAUGAGGACCAAAUGCCCCCUCAGGCACCCUUCCCAUCACGCUGAGCUGAGCACAUCCUCCCACUCGGGGACAUGUGGGGCUGUGUCACCCCACAGUGGCCCCAGGGACCACCACUCUGUGUGGUUGCACUCAAGAUCUGGGGUCCGGAGUUUUAUCCCACUGGGAUGCAAGCAAGAAAACACAGCCCUGGCACAGGAGAGGAAAUGCUCUUGGGAAUAGCAAGAAGAUUGGCCAAAAAGCUGACCCUGGGGAGGGUUCCAUCUCGGCAAGGCGUUUGGAUGGGAGCCGAGGUUUGCAUUCCUCCCACCCAUGCUCCUCUGUGGGGCUCUCAUCCGUGAGCCUGUGACCAAAGUGGGGCAGAGCCAGGUGCAGCCAUUCCCUACAUCUGUGAUUUAUUCUUGGAGAUGACAGCAACAAAAAGGCCCUCUGGUGAUCGGUACAAACAGGCCCUCAUCAGCGUGGGGGACAUUUUAUAGACCUCAAGCUUUUAAAUGUUGAAGGAAAAAAAUCACCAAGAUCCUAAUGCUAUUUCAGCUUUAAAGACUGCUCCAUUUAUAUUACAGUGUUAAUGCAGAAAAUCCCUCUUUUGCCAUCUUUGUUUAUUUUUGCCAUGCUAGUUACUAGUGAGCGCAGCAGCAAGUUUUUAUACCGAGCACAGCAACCCAUCUCAUCCCAAUAAAUUCCUUAUGUAGCCUAUGAAUAGCCAGACACAUGAAUAAUUUAACCAUGGUUUAAUCAACGUUAAACGAAUGCUUUAAUCAAGACCAACUACGUCAUUUCUCCUUAAAAGAAUUACAGACCAAGGCUCUGGCUCUGGUUUCACAGCAUAGGAAGAGCACACAUCUCCUUGGUGAGUUUUAAACAAAUUAAUCAUGCAUUUCUCCAUGGCACCAGCCAGGCGAAGACAGAAGCGCGUUAGCUAUCCCUUCUGCUUCACCCAAAAAGUCUGGAACCAUAGAAUCAUAGAAUUGUUGGAGUUGGAAGGGACCCCUAAAGGCCAUCUGGUCCCACUCCUCUGCAAUGAGCAGGGACACGCACAGCUCCAUCAGUGCUCAGAGCCCACCCCCUGACCUUGGCUGUGUGCAGGGACAGGGCGCUGCCACCCUUGUGAGCAACCCAAAAUUUACCACAUGCUCCCUGCUGUAGCCACGCAGUGAACAGGAUGCAACAGAAAGGAGAUCGUGGAAGCAAAGGCCCUGUCAGCCCUGUCCUGUGUCGGGUGUGUGUCUGUGUGUCCCGUACCACCUCUGUGGCUUGGACUUGGUGGGCUGCUCAGCACCAUACAGCAGUCUGAUCACUCCUCCGAAAGAGAUGGGGGAGAGAACUGGAAAAAAAGGUAAAACUCAUGGGUUGAGACAAAGAUAGUUUAAUAGAACAGAAAAGGAAGGGAAGAUGAUAAUGAUAAAAGAAUAUACAGAACAAGUGAUGCACAAUGCAAUGCUCACCAGACUCAGCAUGAUGCCAUAUGGUAUGGGAUAUCCUUUUGGUUUGCUGUUGUAGUGCUGUCCCCUCUCAGCAGUUUGUGCCCCCCAUCCCCUCACUGGCAGGGCAACAAGAGAAGCUGAGAUGCCCUUGGCUCCAUGCAGCACCUCUCUGCACCAACAAAACCACUGGUGUGUUACCCGCAUUAUGAAUCACAGAAUAUCCCAAGUUGGAAGAGACCAGAAGGAUCAUCCUAAAUCCAAAACAGAACACCAUCCCAGCUACUAGGUGACAAUCCAUUCUAUUCCAGCUGAAACAAGGACAUCUUUCACUAACAGGGGACAGCCAUGCUCCCAUGAGACAUCUCUGACCUAGGACACCUGACCUGGGACAGCACCAGAGAAGCUGCAGUGUUUUAGGUUUCCAUUCUCAAACUUGCCACCGAAAACACUGAUGGAAGCAGUGCCUUCUGCCAUCACACCUCCAAUGUCCUUAGUGCAAAAUGUGGGAUACCCACUGCUCAUGUCCAACACCAUCAGAGAAAGCAGCCCUGGACAUCCAGCUCCCUAUGCAAGCAUCAGCUUCUUCUGGAUUUGCAUUUAUCAGCUGAUGAGAUAUUUGAAGGAGAACAUCAUCACUUACAUGCUCAAAUAUAAUAGCAGCCAGUCCAAUCUUCCCUCUCUGGAGGAAGGGGAGGUCAUGCAAGCUCUCAGCCCUCACUGCUGGCUCUGAGCUGCAAGUUUCCUCCCCUCCAGAACUCUCAGCGAUGCUGUUUUGGUUCCAGGCAGACGGGACACCCUCCAGUCCGGCUGCUUUUCCAUCCCCAGCUUUCUUAAAAAGGUCAGGAAAUGCUCUGCCUGGCAGACAGAUGAGUCGUGAAGCCUCAGCAUUUGUAGCAGAAUGAGGUUAUUACAUUGCAAACUCCAUCCUGAGGAGAAACAACACAAAAAAACUUAUCACGAGUUUUUCAACAAAAAGGAUUUUUCUCUUUUCCAUUUUCUUAAAAAGAUCAAAGAAAUAUAAGAAGUUGGAUCUUAAAGCUCUCUUCUUCCAGUAACUAUUUCUCAUUCUUCUGGUGUUUGUUUUCCAACCUGUUGCCCUCAAGGCCCUUCCACACAUUACAUUUUUUUUUUCCAUUGCCACUAUUAGAAGAAGGAAGGAGUAAAAAAGUGUGUAGAGGAGAGGAAAUCCUUCCCUCCCUUAAGCACUUAUUCAGCAGCUCUUCAGUUCUCACUGCCCUUGUGCUGCACUACAAAACCAGGGCAUCAGAUAACCACAGUAUGUGCAGGCACCAUGUGAGAAGUGACGGGCUGGGAAGGAGGAGGUCAGCACCCACACCCCAUAGCCAUGUCACACCUGGGUGCCACGAUGGCACAAGCAGGAGUGAAAGCAUGGCACUAAAAUUCCAGGUACCCUCUCCAUCCUCGGAGUGCUGCACUACUGAGUCUCCAACAUUCACGGGAUCCAAAAUGUUCAGGAGCUGCUCCUGCUCAGCCCCACAUCC